CAAUAGACACGGGGAGAAGCUCGUAGUCCCCAUUGAGAUCCAAACCAUAAGGCCUAGCCUUCUGCUGCCACAGAAUCACAGCAAGAAGAAGUACUUCCGCUACAGAACAUAAGAGCGCUGUAGGAGCCACGACAGCAACCUCUACAACCAGCAGAUGAACAACCAACCUGACAAAAAGACCAGCCGCUAAAAUCAACCGAGGCAUUAACAAUGGCUAGGCUCAGACUAAAGCGGUAGUGCGCAGGGUCCGAGGUAUUUAAGGUCCCUAGCAGGAAUACCGCCAAAGCCGCUGACUCUAAAACGUCGUAGGCGAUCUCCUCAUCCAGGUCUCCUAAGCUCGUCUAGACGGAACGGGCUAGGAACCCCCUCUAAUACCGGCACUAUUUCCACGCUCACUCGUUUGAGGCGCUCCGUUUCUCACAACUCCUGUCGUCCGUGUUCUCACGGUCAGCGCUCGGUUUCCUUCCGGUCUCGUCGUUGGGUUUCUCCCGGUUACCGCUCCGUGGUCAACUCGGAGUCGUCUCCCUUCAAACACGUAAAACGCUGCUACCACCACUUAAUUAGACGACACUACCACCUACAGACUCUAGGAAGGUGGGUUGGUUUCUUGUACCACUUUCUAGAUACACGUGUUCGGAACCCGAUUUACUUCGUUUCACCGUUUUCGUAUUUCGUGAUCCCCUUUUCCCCAAUAUAAAGACGCUCUUGACGUUCGUAUUCGUCGUAGUUACAAAACGAACACCUAAUAACCCCAGAAGUUUGAAUUGUCGUCCAGGACUCCAUAAGGUUACAUUCCUCGUUUUCACACCCGUGAAAAUGGUGGGCCCUACACAACGAUUUUAUGAGAUGGGACUAUUGUUUCGGUUCCGUUGUACAAAACUCGUUACACAACGACCACCUGACCUUAAGUCAACAGGGCACGUAUUUACAUUCGCCACAUUCCUUCGUCUCUUGUUCGUACUGUUCCUUUACGUUAAGCGUCAUACGUCCGCGACAGGUUGACAUAUGGUGGCCUUCACGAACGGUUCCCUAUAAAGGAACUAUCUCCUGCUCCUUCUCCGAUGAGGCGUUUCCCGUACCCUACCGUAAGAUGGACUAGUUUAAAAUUAGAUGACGUCCUUCGUACUCUAAGUUCUUCUCGAUCCUUGAGGGUUCUCCCUGGUAUAACAGAAAGGUCUACACUCUUUAGGACCACGUCGUCUUUCCGUAUCUCCACGUAGAGUCCCCGUGCUAUAUGGGCUGCUUCUGCUCGAUGAACUGGCGGAUCGCAGGACGUUAGGUAGAGUCAGGGGACUCGGCCGUCUUUGUCCGGCGCCAUCCCACUUCGGGUAGCUAAGAAAGCGCGGCUUCGUGAACAAGGGCGUAGGUGUCGGUCCGAGGACGCCAACCGAACUACUGACUACUAGGUAAGGAACAGAGGGUGGAACGGCACAUCUCUUUGGUAGCCAAUGUCCGAGGGAGAAUAUGUAAAGUACAGUAGAGCUCUUCUUGUUUUCCUUUACAAUACAUCGGGAAACAAUUCAAACUAUGCAUACAGUAAAGGUGAUAAAUCAACCAUGACAUAUUGUACUGUUACGCGGUUUAUUUGUAAGCCAAAUGUUCCUUUGGGCGAGAUAUAUAGGACUCCAAGACGGAGACAAAAAAGAC
rnacentral:rRNA from 1 species